CCUACGGGAGGCAGCAGGUGGGGAAUAUUGCACAAUGGGCGCAAGCCUGAUGCAGCAACGCCGCGUGAGGGACGACGGCCUUCGGGUUGUAAACCUCUUUUAGUAGGGAAGAAGCGAAAGUGACGGUACCUGCAAGAAAAAGCACCGGCUAACUACGUGCCAGCAGCCGCGGUAAUACGUAGGGUGCAAGCGUUAUCCGGAAUUAUUGGGCGUAAAGAGCUCGUAGGCGGUUUGUCACGUCUGCUGUAGAAAACUGGAGGCUCAACCUCCAGCCUGCAGUGGGUACGGGCAGACUAGAGUGCGGUAGGGGAGAUUGGAAUUCCUGGUGUAGCGGUGGAAUGCGCAGAUAUCAGGAGGAACACCGAUGGCGAAGGCAGAUCUCUGGGCCGUAACUGACGCUGAGGAGCGAAAGCAGUGGGGAGCGAACAGGAUUAGAUACCCUGGUAGUCCAUGCCGUAAACGUUGGGAACUAGAUGUAGGGACCAUUCCACGGUUUCUGUGUCGCAGCUAACGCAUUAACGUCCCCGCGUGGGGAGUACCGGCCGCAAGGCUAAAACUCAAAGGAAUUGACGG
rnacentral:rRNA from 1 species